rnacentral:rRNA from 1 species
GACGAACGCUAGCUGCGUGCUUAACACAUGCAAGUCGAACGGAAAGGCCCUGCUUGCAGUGUAUUCGAUUGGCGAACGGGUGAGUAACACGUGGUUGAUCUUCCCUUCCCUUCGGGAUACUCCUGGGAAACUUUGUCUAAUACCGGAUAGUAGCCAUUUUUAUUGUGAUGGUUCGACAGUUUUUUCGUUGUAGGAUGAGCUCGCGGCCUAUCAGCUUGUUGGUGGGGUAAUGGCCUACCAAGGCGGCGACGGGUAGCCGGCCUGAGAGGGUGGACGGACACAUUGGGAAUGAGACAAGGCCCAGACGCAGACGGGAGGCAGCAGUGGGGAAUAUUGCACAAUGGGAGCAAGCCUGAGGCAGCGACGCCGCGUGGGGGAUGACGGAAUUCGGGUUGUAAACUCCUGUAGCGAGGGACGAAGCUUUUUGUGAAGGUACCUAGAUAAGAAGCACCGGCUAACUACGUG